rnacentral:rRNA from 1 species
AUGGGAAAUGGCCUAUGCCGACGGCCCUGGGCCGUCGGCAUAGGUGGCGAGUCCGGUAGUGGUGGUGCCGGUGUCUUCGGCUAUGUUGACGACACCUCGCCGGAACCAGCCAAGCUCCUCUCCACCAAGGACAAGGAUGGUAAGGAGACUCUCGCACCCAACCCUCUCCACCCAAUCUGGGUCCGAGAGGACCAGCAGGUUCUCGGCUACCUGUUGGCCAACCUCUCCAAAGAGGUGCUCAUCACAGUGACCAUGGUCACCACCGCGCAGACGCUCUAGACGACCUUGGUGGGCAUGUACUCGUUGCAGUCGCUGAGCCGCGUCAACAACAUCCGCAUCUCCCCCAUCAAUGCGCAGAAGGGCAACCAGUCUGUUGACUCCUACUUCGCCUUCAUGCGCGGUCUCGCCGAUGAGCUGGCUGCGGCUGGCAAGCCGAUCCAAGACGACGAACUCAUCUCCUACAUCCUUCAUGGGCUGGAUCAGGACUAUCAGCCCUUGGUCUCGUCCCUCGACGCCUGCGUAACUCCGGCCUCCCUCGACGAGCUCUUCGCCAUGCUCAGCAACUUCGACCAACGCAUGGCGCAGUUUCACGGCUCCGGCGGCGGCGGCUUCAAGUCCUCCGCAAAUGCUGCAUCACGCGGCCGUGGUGGCGGCUCUGGCCGGCGUGGUUCUUCCCGUCGCAAGGGGAGGACAGGAGGAGGCGGGCACAACAACGGUGGCGGGCGCUCUGGCAAUAGGAGGCGUCAUGGUGGCGGCUUUGGUCGGGCUCGUCCAGAUACCCCGCGUUGCUAG